CCAAUAGCGUAUAUUAAAGUUGUUGCAGUUAAAAAGCUCGUAGUUGAAUUUCGGGAUCAAUUUAUUGGUCGUGCUAUUGUACGUACUGGUAUUAUUGAUUCCUACCUUCUGACGAACCACGAUGUCAUUAAUUUGGUGUCAUGGGGAAUCAGGACUGUUACUUUGAAAAAAUUAGAGUGUUUAAAGCAGGUUCACGCUUGAAUACAUUAGCAUGGAAUAACGAAAUAGGACGUUUGAUUCUAUUUUGUUGGUUUCUAGGAUCGACGUAAUGAAUAAUAGGGAUAGUUGGGGGCAUUAGUAUUCAAUUGUCAGAGGUGAAAUUCUUGGAUUUAUUGAAGACUAACUACUGCGAAAGCAUUUGCCAAGGAUGUUUUCAUUAAUCAAGAACGAAAGUUAGGGGAUCGAAGACGAUCAGAUACCGUCGUAGUCUUAACCAUAAACUAUGCCGACUAGGGAUCGGAUGAUGUUAAUUUUUUAAUGACUCAUUCGGCGCCUUACG
rnacentral:rRNA from 1 species